UUUUAUCAAUAAUUCAUAUUUUCGAUUCAGUUGUAUCUUAAACCCAUGUUCAUAUACAGACAUGCACGUUAUUUCUACCCUCUUUUGAACUGGAUUUUUUUAACUAGUUGAGCUUUUGGAAAAGCUUGUUGUUUACCUUUUUCUGAACCCCUCCUUUGAAGUUGUAGCUAGUUUUUCUCUCAUCGUCUGUAUUUUGUUGCAACUUGAAAUUUUAUAUUUUCUAAAUUGUCGUGCAAUUAAAUAUGUUUCAGACUUUUUCUAGCAGUUGAUAUCCUAAAAUCUUUUGUGCACCUAAUUAGGUUAUAUGAAAUAUAAUUUUCUGUUGUGAUAUACUUGAUUAAAUGGAUGAAAUUUAAUGUAGCAUUUUGUAAAAGCAAAAGAAAUCACAUUAGAAGGAAAAAAAUGCAAAAUUGUUUGGAAUCUGCUGAACCCUUCAGAAUGUUGAUUAAGAUAAAUCUUUUUAUAUGUUGCAUCCUGCCAUUGAGCUUUUGAUUUUUGAUCGAGAGUAAGGGUUUCGUUUGGAGUUGUCUCAUAGCUGGAAAUAUUUUUAACCUGUUUGAUUCCUUUGGGCA
rnacentral:lncRNA from 1 species